CCAUCAGAUGCCUCUUCUGAAAGGUGGUAAUGGUUCACUUAAAAGGUGUAUCCUUUGGAAGAGUCAUGUCUGUUCAUUCGAAACAUUGUGUCUUUUUCUGAACAGACACAACUAUCUGAACAGUCAUACCUUUUCCAAAACAAUAUGUCUUUUGCUCAAAGGUGUGUCCCUCCAUUUUUCAUUCACACCAAUUAAACCCAAAAAUAACUAUCUUGAAAUUAUUUAUCCAAUCUGAUAACAUUAUAGGAUUUUGGUCCUAUUACGUUGGCCUUCGGGAUCGGAGUAAUGAUUAACAGGGAUAGUCGGGGGCAUUCAAAUUUCAUAGUCAGAGGUGAAAUUCUUGAAUUUAUGAAAGACGAACAACUGCGAAAGCAUUUGCCAAAAAUGUUUUCAUUAAUCAAGAACGAAAUUUGGGGGCUCGAAGACGAUCAGAUACCGUUCUAGUCUCAACCAUAAACGAUGCCGACCAGGGAUCGGCGGAUGUUGCUUUUAGGACUCCGCCGAAACCUUGUGAGAAAUCAAAGUUUUUGGGUUCCGGAGAGAGUAUGGUCGCAAGGCUGAAACUUAAAGGAAUUGACAGGAUAAAAA
rnacentral:ncRNA from 1 species